rnacentral:tRNA from 1 species
GCACCGGUGGCACAAUGGUACUGCGUCCGCCUGCAGAGCGGAUUUUCGGGAGUUCGAUUCUCCCCCGGUGCU